rnacentral:rRNA from 1 species
GAUGAACGCUAGCGACAGGCUUAACACAUGCAAGUCGAGGGGCAGCAAGAUUUAACUUCGGUUAAAUUGAUGGCGACCGGCGCACGGGUGCGUAACACGUAUGCAACCUACCUUAUACAGGGGGAUAGCCCAUGGAAACGUGGAUUAAUACCCCAUAGUACUUCAUAUUCGCAUGAAUGUAGGGUUAAAGUCUUCGGAUGGUAUAAGAUGGGCAUGCGUCCCAUUGGAUAGUUGGUGAGGUAACGGCUCACCAAGUCAAUGAUGGGUAGGGGUUCUGAGAGGAAGGUCCCCCACACUGGAACUGAGACACGGUCCAGACUCCUACGGGAGGCAGCAGUGAGGAAUAUUGGUCAAUGGUCGGAAGACUGAACCAGCCAAGUCGCGUGAGGGAAGACAGCCCUAUGGGUUUUAAACCUCUUUUGUAAUGGAAGAAUAAGUCUUACGUGUAGGACGAUGCCAGUACAUUACGAAUAAGCAUCGGCUAACUCCGUGCCAGCCGCCGCCGUAACAC